GUGAGUCAUCGAAUCUUUGAACGCACCUUGCGCUCCUUGGUAUUCCGAGGAGCAUGCCUGUUUGAGUGUCAGUAAUCUCUCAACUCCUCUGGCUUUUGUUAGCUGGCUGGGGCUUGGAUGUGGAGGUGUUGCAGGCCUUUGUAGGUCAGCUCCUCUGAAAUGCAUUAGCGGAACCGUUUGCGAUCCGUCACAGGUGUGAUAAUUAUCUACGCCAACGAGGGGUUGCUCUCUGAUUGUUCAGCUUCUAACAGUCCUCUUGGGUAGGACAACUCUCUGAAAUUUGACCUCAAAUCAGGUAGGAAUACCCGCUGAACUUAAGCAUAUCAAUAAGCGGAGGA
rnacentral:misc_RNA from 1 species